UCCGGUUUGUCACCGGCAGUCCCCCAUGAGUCCCCGGCAUUACCCGCUGGCAACUAAAGGCAGGGGUUGCGCUCGUUGCGGCACUUAAGCCAACACCUCACGGCACGAGCUGACGACAGCCAUGCAGCACCUGUGCUGGCCCCUUACGGAGCCCUGCUUUCACAGGGUUUAACCAGCAUGUCAAGCCCAGGUAAGGUUCUUCGCGUUGCAUCGAAUUAAACCACAUGCUCCACCGCUUGUGCGGGCCCCCGUCAAUUCCUUUGAGUUUCAGCCUUGCGGCCGUACUCCCCAGGCGGGGCACUUCAUGCGUUAGCGCCGGUACCCCGGGGGUCGCUCCCCAGAGCACCUAGUGCCCAUCGUUUACGGCGUGGACUAC
rnacentral:misc_RNA from 1 species